AGAGUUUGAUCCUGGCUCAGGAUGAACGCUAGCGGGAGGCUUAAUACAUGCAAGUCGAGCGGUAAGUUUUUAUAGCAAUAUAGAGACCUAGAGCGGCGCACGGGUGAGUAACGCGUACACGACCUGGCCUAAACUGGGGGAUAGCCUUGGGAAACUGAGAAUAAUCCCGCAUGUGAUUAUUGGACUGCAUGGUUUGAUAAUUAAAGCUACGGCGGUUUAGGAUGGGUGUGCGUCUGAUUAGCUAGUUGGCAGUGUAACGGACUACCAAGGCGAUGAUCAGUAGGGGGCGUGAGAGCGUGACCCCCCACACGGGUACUGAGACACGGACCCGACUCCUACGGGAGGCAGCAGUAAGGAAUAUUGGUCAAUGCCCGGAAGGGUGAACCAGCCAUCCCGCGUGAAGGAUGAAGGGGCUCUGCCUUGUAAACUUCUUUUGUAUGGGGCGAAAAAAGGGGAUCUAUCCUCGACUGACGGUACCAUAAGAAUAAGCACCGGCUAACUCCGUGCCAGCAGCCGCGGUAAUAC
rnacentral:rRNA from 1 species